rnacentral:rRNA from 1 species
GGGCCCGCACAAGCGGUGGAGGAUGUGGCUUAAUUCGAGGCUACGCGAAGAACCUUAUCCUGGUCUUGACAUGUUUGAGAAUCCUCCCGAAAGGGAGGAGUGCCCCUCGGGGAGCUCUUACACAGGUGCUGCAUGGCUGUCGUCAGCUCGUGUCGUGAGAUGUCGGGUUAAGUCCCUUAACGAGCGAAACCCUUGUCCCUAGUUGCCAGCGAGUUAUGUCGGGGACUCUAGGGAGACUGCCGGUGUUAAACCGGAGGAAGGUGGGGAUGACGUCAAGUCCUCAUGGCCUUUAUGAUCAGGGCUGCACACGUCCUACAAUGGCGCGUACAAAGGGAAGCGAACUCGCGAGAGCAAGCAAAUCCCAAAAAGUGCGCCUUAGUUCGGAUUGCAGGCUGAAACCCGCCUGCAUGAAGUUGGAAUCGCUAGUAA